GUAAGUCAGAGGAAGAAAGAGAAGCCCGACAAGGAGGACACUUAUCUGCACAACGGCAGAAAAAUACUUUUCGGCAACAGAAAACACAUGUUCAUCUUGUCAACACCAUAAAAAAGCAAAAGGGUUUGAAAAAGUAAAGACAGCUUCUCAUAUUGGAUGUGCUAUAUGCAUCUGCAAGCUACUUUGAGACCCACCUCCACCCUCAUCUCUCGUCUCUUCUUCUUCUGGAUGUUUAGCAUCAAUAUCAACACAAGCAGUUCUUCUAAGAUCCUGCCACAGCGUUUCAGUCAUGUUGACGUCUGGACUUUGAGUGGGCCG
ensembl:lncRNA